AGAGUUUGAUCCUGGCUCAGGACGAACGCUGGCGGUGUGCUUCACACAUGCAAGUCGAACGAGGUAGCAAUACCUAGUGGCGGACGGGUGAGUAACGCGUGGGAAUCUGCCCUUGGGUAGGGGAUAGCAGGCCGAAAGGCCUAUUAAUACCGUAUAUGCCGUGAGGUAAAAGGAGUAAUCCGCCCGAGGAUGAGCCUGCGUCCGAUUAGCUAGUUGGUGGGGUAAAAGCCUACCAAGGCUACGAUCGGUAGCUGGUCUGAGAGGACGAUCAGCCACAAUGGGACUGAGACACGGCCCAUACUCCUACGGGAGGCAGCAGUGGGGAAUUUUACGCAAUGGGGGAAACCCUGACGUAGCGACACCGCGUGAGCGAAGAAGCCUUUUGGGGUGUAAAGCUCUGUCAGCAGGAACGAAUAAAUGACGGUACCUGCAGAGGAAGCAUCGGCUAACUACGUGCCAGCAGCCGCGGUAAGACGUAGGAUGCGAGCGUUGUCCGGAUUCAUUGGGCGUAAAGAGUUCGUAGGCGGUUUGUUAAGUCUGAUGUUAAAGAUCAGGGCCCAACCCUGGGAGUGCAUUGGAUACUGGCAGACUUGAGUACAGUAGAGGCGAGUGGAAUUCCCAGUGUAGCGGUGAAAUGCGUAGA
rnacentral:rRNA from 1 species